AGGAAAGGUGGUUGGCUUACGGCACAGUAGAGAGCUUCCAGGGCUGGCUGGCGUGGGAUACCCGUACCACAGAAAUGCAGGGACCAUUGCUUCUUCCAGGCCUCUGCUUUCUGCUGAGCCUCUUUGGAGCUGUGACUCAGAAAACCAAAACUUCCUGUGCUAAGUGCCCCCCAAAUGCUUCCUGUGUCAAUAACACUCACUGCACCUGCAACCAUGGAUAUACUUCUGGAUCUGGGCAGAAACUAUUCACAUUCCCCUUGGAGACAUGUAACGACAUUAAUGAAUGUACACCACCCUAUAGUGUAUAUUGUGGAUUUAACGCUGUGUGUUACAAUGUCGAAGGAAGUUUCUACUGUCAAUGUGUCCCAGGAUAUAGACUGCAUUCUGGGAAUGAACAAUUCAGUAAUUCCAAUGAGAACACCUGUCAGGACACCACCUCCUCAAAGACAACCGAGGGCAGGAAAGAGCUGCAAAAGAUUGUGGACAAAUUUGAGUCACUUCUCACCAAUCAGACUUUAUGGAGAACAGAAGGGAGACAAGAAAUCUCAUCCACAGCUACCACUAUUCUCCGGGAUGUGGAAUCGAAAGUUCUAGAAACUGCCUUGAAAGAUCCAGAACAAAAAGUCCUGAAAAUCCAAAACGAUAGUGUAGCUAUUGAAACUCAAGCGAUUACAGACAAUUGCUCUGAAGAAAGAAAGACAUUCAACUUGAACGUCCAAAUGAACUCAAUGGACAUCCGUUGCAGUGACAUCAUCCAGGGAGACACACAAGGUCCCAGUGCCAUUGCCUUUAUCUCAUAUUCUUCUCUUGGAAACAUCAUAAAUGCAACUUUUUUUGAAGAGAUGGAUAAGAAAGAUCAAGUGUAUCUGAACUCUCAGGUUGUGAGUGCUGCUAUUGGACCCAAAAGGAACGUGUCUCUCUCCAAGUCUGUGACGCUGACUUUCCAGCACGUGAAGAUGACCCCCAGUACCAAAAAGGUCUUCUGUGUCUACUGGAAGAGCACAGGGCAGGGCAGCCAGUGGUCCAGGGAUGGCUGCUUCCUGAUACACGUGAACAAGAGUCACACCAUGUGUAAUUGCAGUCACCUGUCCAGCUUCGCUGUCCUGAUGGCCCUGACCAGCCAGGAGGAGGAUCCCGUGCUGACUGUCAUCACCUACGUGGGGCUGAGCGUCUCUCUGCUGUGCCUCCUCCUGGCGGCCCUCACUUUUCUCCUGUGUAAAGCCAUCCGGAACACCAGCACCUCACUGCAUCUGCAGCUCUCGCUCUGCCUCUUCCUGGCCCACCUCCUCUUCCUCGUGGGGAUUGAUCGAACUGAACCCAAGGUGCUGUGCUCCAUCAUCGCCGGUGCUUUGCACUAUCUCUACCUGGCCGCCUUCACCUGGAUGCUGCUGGAGGGUGUGCACCUCUUCCUCACUGCACGGAACCUGACAGUGGUCAACUACUCAAGCAUCAAUAGACUCAUGAAGUGGAUCAUGUUCCCAGUCGGCUAUGGCGUUCCCGCUGUGACUGUGGCCAUUUCUGCAGCCUCCUGGCCUCACCUUUAUGGAACUGCUGAUCGAUGCUGGCUCCACCUGGACCAGGGAUUCAUGUGGAGUUUCCUUGGCCCAGUCUGUGCCAUUUUCUCUGCGAAUUUAGUAUUGUUUAUCUUGGUCUUUUGGAUUUUGAAAAGAAAACUUUCCUCCCUCAAUAGUGAAGUGUCAACCAUCCAGAACACAAGGAUGCUGGCUUUCAAAGCAACAGCUCAGCUCUUCAUCCUGGGCUGCACAUGGUGUCUGGGCUUGCUACAGGUGGGUCCAGCUGCCCAGGUCAUGGCCUACCUCUUCACCAUCAUCAACAGCCUCCAAGGCUUCUUCAUCUUCUUGGUCUACUGCCUCCUCAGCCAGCAGGUCCAGAAACAAUAUCAAAAGUGGUUUAGAGAGAUCGUAAAAUCAAAAUCUGAGUCUGAGACAUACACACUUUCCAGCAAGAUGGGUCCUGACUCAAAACCCAGUGAGGGGGAUGUUUUUCCAGGACAAGUGAAGAGAAAAUAUUAAAACUAGAAUAUUCAACUCCAUAUGGAAAAUCAUAUCCAUGGAUCUCUUUGGCAUUAUGAAGAAUGAAGCUAAGGAAAAGGGAAUUCAUUAAACAUAUCAUCCUUGGAGAGGAAGUAAUCAACCUUUACUUCCCAAGCUGUUUGUUCUCCACAAUAGGCUCUCAACAAAUGUGUGGGAAGGGAGGGAUGUGUGCAUCCUGGAAGAGAAGCAGGCUGUCCCUGAAGGUUCUCAAAGGUUCAGUGGGAAGAACUCACGUGCUCAGCAAAGCUAUUGAUGAUGACCAAGUGAGAGUAAUUCUCCUGGCAGAACAUCCGGGCCUC